AUUGAACGCUGGCGGCAGGCCUAACACAUGCAAGUCGAACGAGUGGCGGACGGGUGAGUAAUGUCUGGGAAACUGCCCGAUGGAGGGGGAUAAAUACUGGAAACGGUAGCUAAUACCGCAUACACUCGGAUGUGCCCAGAUGGGAUUAGCUAGUAGGGGGGGUCACGGCUCACCUAGGCGACGAUCCCUAGCUGGUCUGCGAGGAUGACCAGCCACACUGGAACUGCGACACGGUCCAGACUCCUACGGGAGGCAGCAGUGGGGAAUAUUGCACAAUGGGCGCAAGCCUGAUGCAGCCAUGCCGCGUGUAUGAAGAAGUCCUUCGGGUUGUAAAGUACGUGCAGCUAGGAGGCGUUACUCGCAGAAGAAGCACCGGCUAACUCCGUGCCAGCCGCCGCGGUAAUAC
rnacentral:rRNA from 1 species